UACAGAGGGUGCGAGCGUUGAUCGGAAUUACUGGGCGUAAAGCGUGCGCAGGCGGUAAGUUAAGUCUGAUGUGAAAGCCCCGGGCUCAACCUGGGAACGGCAUUGGAAACUGGCUUGCUGGAGUGUGGCAGAGGGGGGUGGAAUUCCGCGUGUAGCAGUGAAAUGCGUAGAGAUGCGGAGGAACACCGAUGGCGAAGGCAGCCCCCUGGGCCAACACUGACGCUCAGGCACGAAAGCGUGGGGAGCAAACAGG
rnacentral:rRNA from 1 species